rnacentral:lncRNA from 1 species
UUCGACUUCUCCUCCCUCUCAGUCUCCUUCCUCUUUCUCAUUGUUGCUCUCAGUCUCGUUCUCGUUCUCGGUCUCGUUCUCAGUCUCGUUCAAUUGGUACGUCUCAUUGUCUCGUUCCUCGCUCAAAUCAAGGUAAGUCUUUCUCGUUCUCUAAUAUGCUCUUUAUCUCGUGCAUGCGACUAACAUGGUGACGAUGCCAAACGCAGUUACUUGAAUCUGAUCUUCAGUAUCACAUGCUUCAAGCUGUUCUUAAUCAGGUAGGGUUUUUUGUUUUUAUUUUGAUUUUUUUAUUUAUUUUCGUUUUCAUUUUCGCUUCGUUUUUAUUUGAUUUUUGAUCGACGUUGAUCGUAGUGACUCUCACAUUUGAACCCUUGGAUUAAUGUUUUUUUCGUUGCUGUUUCGUUUUUAAUGAUUGAUUUUUGUUUGUUUUUCGUAUUGAACGGCUGAUAAUUUUGUUUUGAGCUAUUCUGUCGUUGAUUUGGUACAAAAUAUGUUGAUUCUGAUGUUGGUUAAUACAUCUAAAUACACUAAGUUAAUACAUGCUUAGUUCUACAUAGGGUGUGUUGUGUUUCUUUUCACUCUCUCUAACAUAAAUAAAUACCUCAUGCUAAUAAAUGUCAUGAAAAAACAAGGAUAGAUAUACAACCAAGAUACUAACAGUAAUUACAACAAAACAGUGCUUUAUAGAAAAUCUCGAUUUCCUAGAGUACGAAGGCAAGCAUAAUUUGAUCUUUUAAGAGAGCUCAAAACCAUCUCUCAGAGGUUGCUGCUUGGAAAACAAGAAGAAGGCAAUUCUUGAAGCUGAGAUGAAAAAAAAUAGAGGUAAUACUUGAUUUACCUGUUCAGUAUUUAGUUUAAUGUGAUGCCUUUCUUAUAUAUAAUACUUGAUCUAUCAUUUUUUCGAUCUUAUAAUGUCAUACUUGAUAUAUCAUUUUUUUGAUCUUAUAAUGUCAUACUUGAUCUAUUCUGUUUUGUCCUUUUAUUGUCUGAGCUGAGCCAGUUUUUUUUUUGUCAGUCCAUUGGUUUAAACAUGAUUUUGAUUGUGGUGAUUGAAGGAAUGGUGUGGGGAUGGGGGAAUAAGUAGAAAAGUGUGGAGUGAAUAAUAUAAUAGUUGGGUCGGUGCAAAGGAUAAAAUUCACUUCAUGUGUUGGAAAAUAAUUAUAAUGUUUCAGUGUCUUUUAGGAAGCAAAACUCUUUGUUUCCUUUUCUCCAUUCAGUGUGCAGUCACUGUACCAUGUGACCCUUCCUACAAUACCACAACAACACCCACAAAGCUAGUCAUAGCUAGAUCCCACUUUUGGUGCACAAUCACCUUGCUCUGUUUGGCUCCUUUUGGUUAAGGCUGCAACCAAAAUGUCCCUUCUCUAUUCUCUAAUUUUCUCAGUUCAUUCUUCACAACAAAAUCUAAUACUUGUAAACUAUCUACAUAUUUUAGAUAAAUGAUUACUUGCUCCACUGUCUUCUAAAUUAUAACAUGAGACUUUUCAAUGGUUGGGCUUUUUGCUAAAUGAUAUUGCUAAGCUAUCAAGACAUAGGAUUAUUAAUAAUGUGCAAUGUUUAUGUUAAGCAAAAGAGAAUGAAAGGGAUAUAAAAUAUGACCAAGAUGAACAUAUUUAAAUUAAAGGGCUGACACACAUUUACUCAACAUUAUUUAGCACAAUGACAUGAAGCUGUCUUCUAUUAUUCUUGUUGAAAAUCAAUAGAAAAUUGAUUAGGAGAUGAAAAAGAAGAUACAAUUUUACGUUUACAAGGGUUUCUAUUACUCUGGUCACGAGGGCUCCUUAAAUUUUUUGUCAUAGAAAGAUUAACAAAGAUUUUAUUAUAAGAAUUAAAGAACUAGAGAGAUUGAUUGAAAUGAAACAAGGAACCUGUACCUGCUUUGCUUAACUGUAUACUAUUCAACAACAAAAAUUAACAAUCUUAAUACAUGAUUGAUAAAAUUAACAGAAAAGAUAAUGGUCUACAUUAUAAAUAGAUAACUACAUCCAUCAUUUUUAAUUGGUCAAGGUAGAAUAUGUCCAGGUUGAUGUAUGUAGUGAGUAGUCAAUCUCAUUGUCUUAUAGAAUACUUGUUAGCCUAUUAUGUGUUAUUGGGCAACACAUAUCCUAUCCUCCACUGGUCUUUUCUUUUCAGUAUAAACAGAAACCGGGGAGGACCAGCUUUAUUAAACUAGUCAUUCCCAUUCUGAAUUAUAUAUAAGUGAAGCUCUAAUACUACAUCAAAAUCAAGAGUGAAUUAGGUUUAAAUCAAUUCUAAAAGUUAGUAUGAGUUAAUAAUCAAUCCCUUUGAUCUAGUUUCUGUAAAACGAACAUAAAUCAUCCUUGAUUAUAUCUUCUAUUUACUCUAGUAUUAAUAUUUAUUCAUAUCUUUGUAUGUGAUUGGGAUACAAGAUUUCUUUAUCACCAUCUCCCACCGUGUAUAAAAAUAAUUUUCCAGAUAUCAAUUUAUUUAGAAUAUAAACUUCUCUCUACCACAUUGGUUAGUUAUUUAUAUAUGUUUAUUCAAAUAUGUAAUAUGUUACUAUAUGUGUCUAGUAGACAAUGUACUAAUUUCUUAAUUUUAUACUUAAUUAGCAGGGUCUACUAGUAAAAGAAAAAGAGACCCUACCAAAUGUCUCAAGACUUAUGGUUUGAAAUAUGAAGAGCAUUUACCCGUUAAAUUUAGUGCUCUUGGCCAACCUGUUGGUACUUAUUGAGCACAUUGAGUAAUUAUCUGGGGACAUUAGCUAGGAAUGCACACCUAGCUCCUAUGACUUUCACUACUUGGAAAAGACUAGAAGAUCAUGCUGAAAACAUUCUUAGUACUUCACUAACCUUUUAUCUUCAACUAUAUGUAAUACUUAAAUUAUAAAAUUUAUAAUUGAUGAGAUGUAGUCCAAUGUUGUUAAACUCGAGGAUCGGAAAAAAAUAAAUAAAUUUGUUACUCGACUUGUAAGAGUAAGAAUAACAGUUAUUGGUUUAACCAAAAUAAUAUUCAAAUUACACACAACUAAAAGUAGGUUGAUAAUUCAUAAAAAUGCAUUAAACAACUAAUAAACUAUCCUAUGUAAUCCUUCCUAUUAUCUAACCUUCAGUGCUUCCUUCAUUAUAAAACAAGGUAGAAAACAGAGAGGAACAAAGAAGAACAAUGGGUAGUGAGAGUGAACAACAACGAGCGACAGCAGUGGCGAGUGCAAGCAUUAGAGAGCGGAGAACGACGACAAGUGUGAGAACAAACAGUGUUGCGAACGUGAAUGGUGGCAAGUGUGGUGGCGAGCGAUGGUUGUGGGUUUGUUUCGGGAGUUGGUUUUUUGGGGUUCUUUCUGACUUGAUUACUAACCCUAGCAGAAAAGGGGACAAGUAGGAGGAUUUAGACGGUCCAACAAUCCUCUGAUUCACCGAGCAACACGCCUACUCGCUCCUAUCUGCUAUCGCUCUUAUUUUUCGUUCGAGUCGCCUCGCCUUUUCCUCCAAACUCAUUGAAUCGUAUGAGUUAAACUUGCGAUCUUAACAACAUUGCUCUACAUCACUGACCUCCAUUGCUAGUGUUAUCCAAUCACCCACAUGCUAUUUAGACUAACUUAUGCUAAGCUAUAAAUCAUUUUAUCACUAAACUUUUGAUACCUAUCAUGCAUACCGUAGCCCUAGAUGCAACAACUUGUGAAUAAGUGUGUCUUGCAGUCUCCUUUUGUAGUCUCUACAUAAAUGACCUCCAUUGCCAAUGUUAACCAAUCAUGCAAAAGCUAUGUAAGUUAACUUAGGCUAAACUUAAAAUUGUCACAACCCUCUUGCGAGCUCUAAGAGCCUUCAGGAGAUUGGUGCCUCUUAGGUUAACUAUAAGAAGGGGUAACUCUUAUUAAAGUAUUAGUCAUAUAUAUUAAUAACUAGAAUGAAGUUAAAGUACAAAGUUGGUUCAACAUAUUAAACUAAAAUAAUAUGGAGAAAAUGCAUUCCAAACACUAAUAAUUGAUAAUUAGAAACACAAUUAAUUCAUUGACACAUUAACUUGUUAGAUGAAUUUAGUUUGAAAAUCUCUUUUGAUUAAUUUCCAUAUAUUAUACAUUUAAAUUUUGGUAUGGUAUUUAUCGAUUUCCUACUCUUUUUUUACUCAUUCUAUCCCCAUUCAUCGUGUACACUAAAUGACUUUUGUCUUUGAAAUGAGGAAAAAGGGAAAAAAGCAGUUCAUUUAGUUCCCAUUACUGACCUUGAAGAAUAUGCGUAUGAGGCAAAACAGGAGAGAACUAUUUAUGCAUGUCAACACCAUUAAUUUCAUGUAAUUCUUAUGAUAACAAUUAGGAAUGCUAUGAUCUUUAGAUCAAUGUUGGAGCAUUGUAUAUACUUGAUCCUGCCUGUUGACCAGAACGCUGGAGCUUUGCCUCGUCAAACUUGUAUCGACUUCUGCGCCGCGUCAACCUCCGUCUUUCACCGUGAUUCACCUCAAGAACCUGCAAAAGAACAGAACGGCGCCGCUGCGGCCGAUCACGCUCCGACGCCCAAGUCAGCGACUGAACCACCAAUUACUAAGAGUAAAACUUAAGAACUCUGAAGGAACCGUGCAAUGUUCUCUCCCAGUAUACUCAAGACUCGCAAGCGUAAAGAAGACAAUCUGAACGUGCAUACCUCAGAAGUUCGUUGGAAACUCUUAUAUACCUGGAUACUUUCUCUCUCCUGGCAGUUACACAUCUAGACACGUGGCUCGCAUCCAGUUGUACACGUGCCAUCAUCUGGAGCAUCCUUGACUUGGGCGCUACUUCCGACUCUUCUUUGGCUAAGUUACUUAUUCAUGAUACUACUCAGUGCAUAGUCGCCUUGGAGCGUGAUCUCUUCUGGAUGGCGAGUUCGGGUGCCUUCGUACGCACCUUCCCUGUGGUCUCGCCGGCCGCCUUCAUGAUCUGCACCACCUGUUUCACCGUAUAUGCUCAAGUAAGCUGUCCCCUGACCUCAUCCUCUGGCCAGCUGGGAAAUGUCUAUCUGCCUUCACCUUUGGCGAUGUCCUUGUUUCGGCGAUCUCUAAUCACUUGGUCGCCUGGGUUUACAUCUGGCGACUUCAUCUUUAACCCGGUGACCGCCGGUUCUGGUGUGCUGGAGAUCGGAGCACGCCAACUUAAUAACUGGCGACUACACGAGCCCCCCGACUUCCUUCCCUUCUGCCAGCCAGGCGUCCUAUCAACACGCCUAUACAAUAGCUUGAUGCCACGUCAUUAUUUCCGACUACCAGGGCGGUACACAAGUCCCCCAGUCUUAAGCGAAGACUUGUCCAGCGAAAAGACUAAAGGAGUCACGUCAAUACCGAUCUACGUGGCGCUGACGCAGAAUUCCAAACGUUUGUACUUUCUGCUUUCCUGACGCUCCACCAAACACUCCUCCAAUCGCUCGACACGUGGCUUCAUCAACGGUUACCCUUAAUUGUCGUUUGCGCUUCCAAAACCCAUUCGAAAAACCCUUAAACCCAUUUCACUUCUACUGUUCCAUCACUUCUUUGCUUUCUCAAACGCUUCAAGCUUCUUCUGCAAAAACUCACGACGCUCUGCAACCUCCUGAAUCCUCAACUUCCUUCAUCGUUCUUCCGAUCAUAAAAAGGUACUCCCUUUACUUCUUCUGCUGAUUUUUCCUGCAUUUUAACCGAUUCGCAUCAUCCAUUAACUAUCUGGUGCAUACGCUGUGGGCUGUUUCUUCUAUUUCUCCUUUCUCGUAACUUAGGGCUUCGUCUUCGUUACAACGAACCUUCGUUCGUUCGUUUUUCACCCUUUUUUCACGAUCGAGUCAGCCUCUGCGGACCCUGAUCACCUUUCCUUUUCUUUUUCCUUUGCAGUUUCCGNNNNNNNNNNNNNNNNNNNNNNNNNNNNNNNNNNNNNNNNNNNNNNNNNNNNNNNNNNNNNNNNNNNNNNNNNNNNNNNNNNNNNNNNNNNNNNNNNNNNNNNNNNNNNNAGGCCUGCAACCUCCACCUACCUGGCUCAGGCUACUCCCCUAGUCGCCGGAGGAGCCUCCAUUCCUUCCCCAGACUUCAAAAAGCUAUACCCCUGGGCCAGCUCGGCACUGCUGAAAGAAACGUCCUCGAUAAACUCCGAAACGGCGGUACUCCGACUAAGGAAAGGGGAUCAGUCGGAUCUUUCCUUUCACAAGGAGCAUGACAACAAGGUGACCGUGCUGCCUUGCCACCCUGAGGAGCCGAUUUGUGCUGACGACAAAGUGAGCGGUGGCGAGUCGUUCUGCUUCCUCUACACAACGUUAUUCAAGAAGGUGAAGCUCCGACUUCCCUUCACCCGUUUCGAGCGAGAGCUGCUAACCGAGCUCGAUAUCGCCCCCGCCCAGCUUCAUCCCAACAGCUGGGCGUUCGUAAGGGCGUUCCAGAUCAUGUGCGACCAUCUGGGGCUGCCAGCGUCAGUGGACGUUUUUCUUUUUCUUUUUAAAGCCAAACACCCGGGAGAUCGCUUGUGGGUGAGUCUGAACGGAAUUGCUGGGAGGUCGAUCCUCUUUAUCUUCCAGCAAUCCUACAAGGAUUGGAAGGGCAAAUUUGUCCAAGUACGCCAAAACGACCAGGAUGCCUCGAUGCUCGACGGGUUUCCCUUGUACUGGGUAAACAAGGGAAACAAAGACGCCAAGGGAAGCUUCAGGAUGCCAAGAAGUCCUGACAGCAUGGGUGCUUUGGACAAGGAUUUGUGCCUCUUCUGGAAGAGCGUGGCAGGCGCCAAUAUCACCUUCCUCACCACUGCGCUUAUCUCCUUCGAGUUCUUCGAAGAUCAACUCGAAGUUCGCAUAGGUUAGAGCUCACAUCAGUGUCUAAGUCAUUACACUUGACGUUACUUCUGCUAAUUGUUUCUGGGCGUCUUGUCUGUUGUGCACAAGACUUUGGUUUUAUUUUCUGCACCACUUAUCUGCUUUUGUUGCAUACUGACUUAUGUGUUUAUCCUUCUCUCUGAGCUAACCCAUGUAUCUUUGUAUUAUGCAGAUCGUAUGUUGGGCAAGGGAAAACUGGCUGAACUGAGGGCGCUCGCCCGAGCCCAUGGGUUGGCGUCGGGUUCCC